ACCAUUUAAAGAGUGCGUAAUAGCUCACUGGUCGAGAGGCCCUGCGCCGAAGAUUCCCGGGGCUAAAGUAUGGAACCGAAGCUAUGGAUGCAAGCUUAGGCUUGCGUGGUAGAGGAGCGUUCCCAUCGGGUUGAAGUCGUACUGUAAGGUACGGUGGACUGGUGGGAAGUGAGAAUGUUGGCAUGAGUAGCGAAAAGAAAGGUGAGAAUCCUUUCCACCGAAAGCAUAAGGAUUCCUGAGCAACGAUCGUCGUCUCAGGGUAAGUCGGGACCUAAUCCGAGGCAAAGAGCGUAGGAGAUGGACAACUGGUUGAUAUUCCAGUACCGGCAGCAAUCGUUUGAACAAUGGAGUGACGCAGGAAGGCAGGUCCGCACGAGAUUGGUAGUUCGUGUGCAAGCAUGCAGGCUGGUGUACAGGCAAAUCCGUACACUGAGGCUGAGGUGUGACGCGGAGGGAACUUGUUCCCGAAGGGAUUGAGCCUACGCUGCCGAGAAAAGCUUCUAGUGAGAAAGCUGCCGCCCGUACCGUAAACCGACACAGGUAUGCGGGGAGAGAAUCCUAAGGUGCGCGGGAGAACCCUCGUUAAGGAACUCGGCAAAAUGUACCCGUAACUUCGGGAUAAGGGUAGCCAUCGUGGUGAAAGGACUUGCUCCUGGAGCCUAGGAUGGUCGCAGAGAAGAGGCCCAAGCGACUGUUAACCAGAAACACAGGUGCCUGCGAAAGAGAAAUCUGAUGUAUAGGUGCUGACACCUGCCCAGUGCUGGAAGGUUAAAGAAGGAUGUCCGGGUUCGACCCAAAGCAUUCGACUGAAGCCCCAGUGAACGGCGGCCGUAACUAUAACGGUCCUAAGGUAGCGAAAUUCCUUGUCGGGUAAGUUCCGACCCGCACGAAAGGUGUAACGAUUUGGGCACUGUCUCAACGAGGGACCCGGUGAAAUUGAAAUACCUGUGAAGAUGCAGGUUACCCGCGACUGGACAGAAAGACCCCAUGGAGCUUUACUGUAACCUAAUAUUGGGUUCUGAUAUUUGAUGCACAGGAUAGGUGGGAGGCAGAGAUGGUAGUCCUUUGGGAUUACCGGAGCCGCCGUUGGGAUACCACCCUUCAACUAUCGGGAUUCUAACCGAGCGAGUAACGAUCGCCGGGACAUUGUUAGGCGGGCAGUUUGACUGGGGCGGUCGCCUCCUAAAGAGUAACGGAGGCGCCCAAAGGUUCCCUCAGCGCGGACGGAAACCGCGCGCGGAGUGUAAAGGCAGAAGGGAGCUUGACUGCGAGCCAAACACGGCGAGCAGGUACGAAAGUAGGGCUUAGUGAUCCGGUGGCAUCCAAGUGGAAGGGCCAUCGCUCAACGGAUAAAAGCUACCCUGGGGAUAACAGGCUAAUCUCUCCCAAGAGUCCAUAUCGACGGGGAGGUUUGGCACCUCGAUGUCGGCUCAUCACAUCCUGGGGCUGAAGUCGGUCCCAAGGGCUGGGCUGUUCGCCCAUUAAAGUGGUACGUGAGCUGGGUUCAGAACGUCGUGAGACAGUUCGGUCCCUAUCCAUCGCGGGCGUAAGAGAUUUGAAGGGGGCUGCUCCUAGUACGAGAGGACCGGAGUGGACAGACCGCUGGUGUACCAAUUAUCCUGCCAAGGGUAUAGUUGGGUAGCUACGUCUGGAACGGAUAAACGCUGAAAGCAUCUAAGCGUGAAGCCAUCCUUAAGAUGAGAUCUCUCACGGAGUAAUCCGGUAAGACACCUUGAAGAACACAAGGUUGAUAGGCAGGAUGUGUAAGCACAGCAAUGUGUUCAGCUGACCUGUACUAAUAUGUCGAGGGCUUGACUU
rnacentral:rRNA from 1 species